GCUGGGAUAGCUCAGUUGGUAGAACAUGAGACCCUUAAUCUCAGGGUUAUGAGUUUGAGGUCCCAUAUUGGGCA